AGUGAACGCUGGCGGCGUGCCUAAUACAUGCAAGUCGAACGGACAAGUAAGAGCUUGCUCUUAUGAGUUAGUGGCGCACGGGUGAGUAAUGUAUAGCUAAUCUGCCCUACACUAGAGGACAACAGUUGGAAACGACUGCUAAUACUCUAUACUCCUCUCUAGCAUAAGUUAGAUAGGGAAAGUUUUUCGGUGUAGGAUGAGGCUAUAUUGUAUCAGCUAGUUGGUGAGGUAAUGGCUCACCAAGGCUAUGACGCAUAACUGGUCUGAGAGGAUGAUCAGUCACACUGGAACUGAGACACGGUCCAGACUCCUACGGGAGGCAGCAGUAGGGAAUAUUGCUCAAUGGGGGAAACCCUGAAGCAGCAACGCCGCGUGGAGGAUGACACUUUUCGGAGCGUAAACUCCUUUUGUUAGGGAAGAACAAUGACGGACCUAACGAAAAG
rnacentral:rRNA from 1 species